GUUCAUUUUGAAAUAAAUUUUGUUACCGGCGACAACGUUCAUUAUAAUAAAAAACAAAAAUUAAAAAUAUUUUUGCAAAACUUAGCGAUUAGUAAUCUUAGGAAGUUAAGUGGCAACGAGAAAGAUAUUAUUUUAACUAUCGUUAACCAGUUGUAUGCCAGUCCAUUUUGUCAGUCACCUCUUAGUUCAGUCCAGUUCAGUCGAUAAGAGUUUUUGUAAGAGUUCAGCGUCCACUUCAUCCCAGUUCCAGUGUGCCAGUUUUAUUUGUACAGGUGUUUCUGUGUUGACCGUCCAUCAAAGAUUUGCUGUUUCUGUUCCGUUUACAAUUGUUCCUUGUGUGUGUUUGUCAGCGUUAAAGGUUAGUAUUCGAGAUAGUGCGAUAACGGUAGUGUAUUCUAGACUCCAGACAUAACUAGAUAUAGUUUGUUAAUCGUAAUCUUCGUAAUUCCACAAUAUUAAAAUAAAA